rnacentral:rRNA from 1 species
UACGGAGGGAGCAAGCGUUACUCGGAAUUAUUGGGCGUAAAGGGGGCGUAGGCGAUUCGAAAAGUCAACUGUGAAAGCCCAGGGCCUAACCCUGGAAGUGCAGCUGAUACUGUUGAAUUUGAGUUCCGGAGAGGAAGGCAGAAUUCCCGGUGUAGCGGUGAAAUGCGUAGAUAUCGGGAGGAAUACCAGUGGCGAAGGCGGCCUUCUGGACGGAUACUGACGCUGAGGCGCGAAAGCUAGGGGAGCAAACGGG